GUGAUCAAGCGCUGCUGUGUUUUGCUACGGACCUCUGAUUAGCCUACCAAAAUUUUAUUUCAAGCAAGGAUAAAACGCAAUUUAAGGUGCUACCUAUGGGUCCUGUACACCUUUGUGUCUUCUUGUUGUGGUCUGAGCCUGUGCUUUCACCAGUUCUAAGUGCCCCCAUUGGCAACCAUGAACUUGACGAUGUGUGUAAACCACAACUUGACAGUAAGUAUGGGAAUAUUAAAGCCAUUGUAUAUCCCUGAUUUUUGGAAGGGGAAUGAUAUUU